rnacentral:tRNA from 1 species
CCUUCGAUAGCUCAGUUGGUAGAACGGAGGACUGUAGAUCCUUAGGUCGCUGGUUCAACUCCGGCUCGAAGGA